rnacentral:rRNA from 1 species
AUUGAACGCUGGCGGCAGGCCUAACACAUGCAAGUCGAACGGUAGCACAGAGAGCUUGCUCUCGGGUGACGAGUGGCGGACGGGUGAGUAACGUCUGGGAAACUGCCCGAUGGAGGGGGAUAACUACUGGAAACGGUAGCUAAUACCGCAUAACGUCGCAAGACCAAAGUGGGGGACCUUCGGGCCUCACACCAUCGGAUGUGCCCAGAUGGGAUUAGCUAGUAGGUGGGGUAAUGGCUCACCUAGGCGACGAUCCCUAGCUGGUCUGAGAGGCUCGCAAGCCACACUGGAACUAAGACACGGGCCAGACUACUACGGACGGCAGCAGUGGGGAAUAUUGCACAAUGGGCGCAGGCCUGAUGCAGCCAUGCCGCGUGUACGAAGAAGGCCUUCGGGUUGUAAAGUACUUUCAGCGGGGAGGAAGGCGGUGAAGUUAAUAGCUUCACCGAUUGACGUUACCCGCAGAAGAAGCACCGGCUAACUCCGUGCCAGCCGCCGCCGUAA